CGGAAAGAAUGAGGCAGGCAGAGAGCCAGGCAGAGAGCCAGUUGGGAGUCUCUAGUGGUGGUUGCCCCCUCUCUCUUCCUAUGAUUUCCUUUUCCAUUUGUAAACUAAACCACCAUUCACCUUAAGGAACUGUUUGGUUAAUGUCUGAGUAGAUUUACAUACCAAGUACCCGCGCAGCAUGCUAGCUUCCCCCCAAUGCAUGCCCACCUCCAGCCUUGCAGCAAGCACCUUGAGGAAAGCUAGAUGCAGUAGCAGAUUCUGUUUAGGAGAUGUCAUCUACUGUUAUGGCGCACCGGAUUUUUCAUGAACGUAUUGCACUUGAAGUUUCAGCUGGUUGAUCCAUUCAUGUCUUUGAACAAUUUGUGCGAUACUGUUUGUUCAGAAAGCAAAAUGCAGUACAUUGGACGCGUCCUCCUUAGACUCUAUUCAAGAUCAACACAGAUGGGAGCUCAAACAGGAACGGGGGACUACGUGGAGGAGGUGGUGGUAUUAGAUCAUAUACUGGAAUUAAUAGCAGCUUUUGCAUCACCUUUCAGUAAAGGAAUGUGCUGAAACAAAACUAAUUGGAUCCAUGCUAAAUCAGACCCGCCAUUUGGAAUCUUAUCUCAGUAAUUGAAAGCAUUAAGGUAAGCUGAAGGUUUUGGAAUAUGUGCAGCUUCAACAUUGCUUCAGAGAAGCUAAUGAAGGAUUGAAGCUUGCAUGACGGAUUGGUAUAAUUUAAGGAUCAAAAGUAGUUUUUUGUUUUUUUUUUGUAUACCAUGAGCUGUACCUCAAAAGGAUGUAACAAGUUAGUUCUAGUAGGACUAAUUUAGAAAGAUGUAAUUAGACUAAUUAUACAUACAAUUGUAUUUCCACACACCAUAGAUCUCUUUAAAAAUUGUGUAUGUACAAUUCAAACUUAAUUAGUUUUCGAUGAGGUUCCCCUCCUUCAUA